CAGUCGUACCUUCGGGUAAUCAGCUUCGCUCUUGCGUGGUGUACUUUCUGGUUGACGGGUCAGCAUCAAUUUUGACUGCUGGAAAAAGGCUUAGGGAAUGUGGCAGCUUCGGCUGUGUUAUAGCCCUUGGUCACAUACAGCGGUUGGGAUUGAGGAACUCAGCACGCCGCAAGGCCGGUUUCGACCACGUUCGUGCUUAGGAUGCUGGCAUAAUGGCUUUAANCGACCCGUCUUGAAACACGGACCAAGGA
rnacentral:rRNA from 1 species